CCAAAGAGGGGGACCUUCGGGCCUCUUGCCAUCGGAUGUGCCCAGAUGGGAUUAGCUAGUAGGUGGGGUAACGGCUCACCUAGGCGACGAUCCCUAGCUGGUCUGAGAGGAUGACCAGCCACACUGGAACUGAGACACGGUCCAGACUCCUACGGGAGGCAGCAGUGGGGAAUAUUGCACAAUGGGCGCAAGCCUGAUGCAGCCAUGCCGCGUGUAUGAAGAAGGCCUUCGGGUUGUAAAGUACUUUCAGCGGGGAGGAAGGGAGUAAAGUUAAUACCUUUGCUCAUUGACGUUACCCGCAGAAGAAGCACCGGCUAACUCCGUGCCAGCAGCCGCGGUAAUACGGAGGGUGCAAGCGUUAAUCGGAAU
rnacentral:rRNA from 1 species